rnacentral:rRNA from 1 species
GACGAACGCUGGCGGCGUGCUUAACACAUGCAAGUCGAACGGAAAGGCCGUGCGCUUGUGGGGUGCUCGAGUGGCGAACGGGUGCGUAACACGUGAGUAACCUGCCCUUGACAUUGGGAUAACUUCAGGAAACUGGGGCUAAUACCCGAUAGCAGCUUCUGCUGCAUGGUGGGUGUGGGUAAGUUUCGGCGGGUGGGGAUGGACUUGGCGCUUAUUAGCUUGGUGGUGGGGUAGUGGCUUACCCAGGCCUUGAGGGGUAACCGGCCCGAGAGGGUGAGCGGCGACACUGGGAAUGAGACAAGGCGCAGACGCCGAAGGGAGGAAGCAGUGGGGAAUACUGCACAGUGGGCGGAAGGCUGAGGCAAGAACGACGGGCGCGGGAUGACGGACCUCGGGUUGUAAAUCGAUAUAGCAUGUGACGAAGCGGGAGUGACGGUAAUAGGUAAAGAAGCAACGGCUAACUACGUG